CUUCUCUUCUGCAAGUUCUGCUUCUUCCGCGAAGUGGGAAGGAGAAAUCGAGAGAGUGUGACUUUUCAAUACCUUCUGCUUGUGCAAAUUUUCUUCUCUUCAAAGGGUAAAAUUUUGCACGUUGUUGAGGUUGGGACAUGAAGUUUGUGGAGGAGCUAAGCUUUUGAGAUUGAGCGACGACGGGCGUGGAGGAUGUUGAGCAGAAUUCAUGGAUUAUUUAUGUUUGGCUUAAUAUUGUUGGAUAUGUCGUGUCUUCAUACUCGGCAUUUUCCGUGUCUUGAACGCUUCCGCUAGGUGUCUUUUCUUUAAAAUUGUUUUAGUAUUGAGAACCUAACUCUUUUCAAAAUUGUCUACUUUCUAGUCUUUA